ACUGAGUGUGGUGGUACAUACCUAUAAUCUCUGCUAACAAGAAGGUUGAGGUGGGUGGAUCUCUUGAGAUCAGGAAUUUUGAGUUGCAAUGUCUAAAUUGAUCAGACAGCCUCACUAAGUCUGGCACCAGUAUGGUUAACCCUGGGAGCAGGGGGCCACUUGGUUUCCUAAAGAGGGACAAACUGGCCCAGGGUAGAAAUGAGCAGAUUAAAGCUUUCAUGCCAUCCAGUACGGAGAUCAAGCCUAGGAGUGGCUGCUGCACUUCCAGCCUGGGCAAGAUAGGGAGACACAUUCUCAA
ensembl:misc_RNA Metazoa_SRP Metazoan signal recognition particle RNA